AGUAAGAGCUUGCUCUUACGGGUGGCGAGUGGCGGACGGGUGAGGAAUGCAUCGGAAUCUACUCUGUCCUGGGGGAUAACGUAGGGAAACUUACGCUAAUACCGCAUACGACCUACGGGUGAAAGCAGGGGAUCUUCGGACCUUGCGCGAUUGAAUGAGCCGAUGCCCGAUUAGCUAGUUGGCGGGGUAAGAGCCCACCAAGGCGACGAUCGGUAGCUGGUCUGAGAGGAUGAUCAGCCACACUGGAACUGAGACACGGUCCAGACUCCUACGGGAGGCAGCAGUGGGGAAUAUUGGACAAUGGGCGCAAGCCUGAUCCAGCCAUACCGCGUGGGUGAAGAAGGCCUUCGGGUUGUAAAGCCCUUUUGUUGGGAAAGAAAAGCAGUCGGUUAAUACCCGAUUGUUCUGACGGUACCCAAAGAAUAAGCACCGGCUAACUUCGUGCCAGCAGCCGCGGUAAUACGAAGGGUGCAAGCGUUACUCGGAAUUACUGGGCGUAAAGCGUGCGUAGGUGGUUGUUUAAGUCUGUCGUGAAAGCCCCUCGGCUCAACCUGGGAAUUGCGAUGGAAACUGGGCGACUAGAGUGUGGCAGAGGGUAGUGGAAUUCCUGGUGUAGCAGUGAAAUGCGUAUAGAUCAGGANGAACAUCCGUGGCGAANGCGACUGCCUGGGGCCAACACUGACACUGANGCACNAAAAGGCGUGGGGGAGCAACAAGGA
rnacentral:rRNA from 1 species